rnacentral:sRNA from 1 species
UGUAAACAUUCCUAGUUUAAGUAUGAUUGUGUAAAUCCUAGAUAAGAUUUGAUUCUAGUUAUCCUUUCCUAUUACAACUUGUAUUACUUGGAGAAGAAGGAAUAUCUUCUCUCCCUUUACUACUAUAAAUAAAGGCACAAUGUAGGAGGGAUAACAACACACACAUUCCCCUACAAUUCUACAAACACACAUCUCUCUCCUCUCUCUCUCUGCCGCCGGCCCUAGUCCCUCUGUCAGAUAAAAUAGACCACAACACGUUAUCAGCACGCUCCUACCGCUGCGCUUAGGAAUCUGACGUUGGAGAUUUUUUCUGCAUCAAACCAGUUCAUCCAUAUCAUCACGCAAUCAGGUUCUUUCCAAACAACGGUUUUUAACUCGAUAUUUUGCAAGCCCUGAUAGCAUGAACAUUCACCAUGAUGCAUGACCCAACUUUACGAACAUGUCGAACUUGAACAAACUCGACUUCACCGCUUUGGAGGUUUCUGGAAG